rnacentral:rRNA from 1 species
UACGUAGGGGGCGAGCGUUGUCCGGAAUCAUUGGGCGUAAAGGGCGCGUAGGCGGCUUGAUAAGUCGGGGGUGAAAGCCUGUGGCUCAACCACAGAAUUGCCUUCGAUACUGUCGAGCUUGAGACCGGAAGAGGUAAGUGGAACUGCGAGUGUAGAGGUGAAAUUCGUAGAUAUUGGGAGGAACACCAGUGGCGAAGGCGGCUACCUGGACCGGUUCUGACGCUGAGGCGCGAAAGCGUGGGUAGCAAACAGG